rnacentral:misc_RNA from 1 species
GAUGAAGAACGUAGCGAAAUGCGAUACGUAAUGUGAAUUGCAGAAUUCAGUGAAUCAUCGAAUCUUUGAACGCACAUUGCGCCUGCCAGCACUCUGGCAGGCAUGCCUGUUCGAGCGUCAUUUCAACCAUCAAGCCCUAGGCUUGCGUUGGAGCCCUGCGGCUGCCGCAGGCCCCUAAAAGCAGUGGCGGGCUCGCUAUCACACCGAGUGCAGUAGAUUACUCUUCGCUCAGGGCGUGUGGCGGGUUCCAGCCGUGAAACCCCCUACUUCACAAGGUUGACCUCGGAUCAGGUAGGAAUACCCGCUGAACUUAAGCAUAUCAAUAAGCGGAGGA